rfam:Puccinia triticina 1-1 BBBD Race 1 supercont2.1052, whole genome shotgun sequence.
GCGUCUGUAGCCUAGUUGGUAAAGGCAGCACUCUAGUAUGUGUCUCAGCAUAGCUGAGGUUGUGAGUUCUACUCUCACCAGACACA